rnacentral:lncRNA from 1 species
UUUAUGUAAUACUAACAGACCAAAUUCUCCCUUCUCUUCUUCAUGAAACCCUUUCCGCCGCCACAACCCUUUGUCUGGAUUCUUCCAUUUUCUAACCUUCAAUGACUCCUCCACAACCACCAAUCCACCAUCUUCAUCCUUUCUAUAUGAUUUUAAAAUUUUACAACCAUUAACUUCUUAGUUAGAUCUUGACAACCACGGGUAAUUUUUCAAAAAACUAUUAACAUAGAAAUACUCUCUUAUAUCCCCUUCCAAAACCCACAAUUAUUAUUUUUUCAAUAGGAGCAAGUUCGUCGGAAACCACCGCGCCGGAAACCAUCGCCGCCGCAACUAUCACUUUUCCGGUCAAGGUUUGAAAAUGUUUAUAUCUGUUUUUUGAGUAAAAUCAUUUUUGAACAUGCUUAAAAAAUUGUUUUGUUGGCUGUUGAACUCCAUUUUGUAAAUAACUGUUUUUUCAGUUUAUUAAAACUUUUCACUUCUAUCAUCUGUAUCAUUUGUGUGUAGUUUGAGUAUGGGCUGAGAGGUUGGAGAUGGUAAAGAGUUAAAAUUGUUUAACAAUACUAUGAUCACAUAAACAAAAUCAUUCUUGCAAAAAGAAAUAACCCAAAUCAUAAAAUCCAAUCCAUAAAUUCUACUUUUUCUAAUUUUCAGUACUUUCUCUUUACACUUAUUUUCUUACCCAAAAUCUUUGCUCUUUGUUCUCCAUCUUUGUUUAUAUUUAUUUGUUCUUCAUUUUUCUAUCUCAUGGUGGAUUUGUGCCAUUCAUCUUUACUUCUCAUGUGUUGUUUUAGGUUCCUGACAAAAUAAAACACAAAAUUGAAACAAAUUAAAUGAAAAGUCAAUUAAUAUUAAAGAAUAGAUCAUAUCAUUUUAUCUACUCUGGAUGUUUUAUUUAUUUUUUCUAAACUUUUACCUUGCGAUGGUACUUUUAUGUGUUCAUAUUGUCCAAAAAAAAAGAACUUUCCUGCAAAAUAAAAUAAAUGUAAAUGGAGUUUAAAAAAUAAAGAUGAAGGCAAAAAAUAGCUAAGAAAGAGUGAGAGAUAGUAUAUUUCUUUCAACCAUCUCAUGAUUUGGUUUGUUUUUGAUUUUCCGGUGUACUCCUUUCUUUAAAAUAUACCACUAUUUUUUAACUCAACUAUGUUAUUCAUGGUGCAAGAAAGACAUAAGUUGUUAGUAUAUGAUUUUCUGUUUUGCCAUCUCUUGAAAGAUAGAAAAAAAAUAACAAACAUAAAACAUGAAGAACAUUAUUCAAUAAUAAUAAGAAGAAAGUAGUAGUAAUAAAAAGUAGUAGAAAAAAAAAAGACAGAAAAUGAAAGGAUGAAUGUAAGAGAAAUUUGUGAGAGAAUGAUAAAAUUUCAAUUGUUUCUUAUUUAUGUUGGUGAGAGAAGGUAAUGUAGCAUUUAAUUUUAAGAUUUGAAUUCAAAAUUUGAAUUCCACAAUAAGAGGGAAAAUGUGUGAUAUUCAAAAAGUUUGAUUGGAUAAGUCACAUGUGUUACUUUUCAAUUGAAACUGGUUUGGUUACUUUUUUGCAUGGGGCUUGAUGAAAAGUUACCUUUACUCUCACAAUAUAGAAAUAUGGCUUGGUUGGCUUGAAAAAUGGCUUGGUUCAAUGCUACAUUAGUUCAGUUACUUAAUUUUUUGACAUGAAAAGUCCCUACUUUGGACACAUGUCAUAUUCUUAAAUAGGGGCAUUUUUGACUUUACCAGGUACUUCAACUUUCUUAUAUUGUUAUUGAUGA